UUCUCCGCUUCCUGCGCGGGUGGUUGGUGGAAUGGCUCCGCGAAGCUCGGGCCGUUCGUACGGGCGCCACGCGCAUCUCGCUUCUCGCCGACCGCUUGUCCCCCUAAAAUCGGGCUCGGCUCUGAGAUAAAAUCGAAGGCCAGCUCUCCCUGUUCCCCAUGGAAAGCUCCUCUGUCAUGCCCUGCCCCUCUGCUCAACUCCGGUCGCGCGCCUCUCCUUCGGAUUGUGCCCUGUGUUUGUCCAGCCUGCUUGUAGCUCGCCGUCGACCUCCCCGGCACGUCCCUCCCUCGCCUUGGCGCCGCUGCGGACUCGACCGACGGCUGGGGCCGGUGGAUGCCUCGCCGGGGUGCUGUGCUGCUACCAAGCCGCCGCUCCAAUGGCCGUGGAGAGCUCUGGCAAGCCACCGGACGGUUGGACAGAACUCCACCAUCGGCGCCGUGUUAGGUAGUCGCCUUGCCUCUUUGUCGGACUUCUCGGAAUUCUUUACCCAUGCUCGGAUGGCGCCGCCGCAGCCAACACUUUGCUCCGCGCCGUGGCCGCCCUCGUUCCCGCCUUCUCUCUCGGAAGGAACCCUUAGUAACACAUGGGGUGUUACACUGGUGGCCUGGGAUGAUGCCAUGGAACGAUGUGGGACUAGGGCGCAACUUGGAGCUUGCGAUCCCCAAGCCGUCAAACGUCUCAACUUACAUGCAAUUCAAGGUGGUCUAUAAACAAGGCAAAGCAAAUUUGGUGGCAGAUGCACUCUCUAGAGUGGGAUAUCUUAUGGCUAAGUAGGUGGUUAGUGAAGUGCAACCUCUAUGGAUCCAAGAGAUUGUAAACUCUUAUGUAACAGAUUCAGAAGCACAUGCUUUUUGGUUAGACUUUGUGUCCACAAUCCUAAUGACCAAGGAUUUUGGCUGCACAAGGGCAUUAUCAAGAAGCAUAAGCUGAUUUGGGUGGGAGAAAACUCUGCUCUAGGAACCAAGAUAAUUGUUGCACUACAUGAUAGUGUGCUUGGGUACACUCAGGAGUCUAGGCUACAUAUCAUCGAGUUAAAAAAUUAUGUACUUGGAGAGGACUGAAGGCGGAUGUAGAUGAUUUUGUGAAACAA